UACGGAGGAUCCAAGCGUUAUCCGGAUUUAUUGGGUUUAAAGGGUGCGUAGGCGGCCUAUUAAGUCAGGGGUGAAAGACGGUAGCUUAACUAUCGCAGUGCCUUUGAUGCUGAUGGGCUUGAAUGAACUAGAGGUAGGCGGAAUGUGACAAGUAGCGGUGAAAUGCAUAGAUAUGUCACAGAACACCAAUUGCGAAGGCAGCUUACUAGGGUUUUAUUGACGCUGAGGCACGAAAGCGUGGGGAUCAAACAGG
rnacentral:rRNA from 1 species